UUAUGGCGGCCGUGCGUGGGCAGGCUUCGGCCUGGCCGGGUUCCAAUUUCCCCGGUUUCUCACCCCGCGUACGGCUGCCACCCA
rnacentral:antisense_RNA from 1 species